GGAUUGGUCGCUGCUGCAAUUGUGGCCCUGUCAGACCUUGACAUCAAUUACAAGAUUACUUCAGCUUAUGGCUUUGGGCUGAUAGUGUUCGCCUUGUCUGGGGAAAUUAAUAAAUGCAAGUCCCUGCGAAUGACUUCUCCAUCAUGACCGCAAAGCUUAAGAUUGCUCAGAUACACACCAAUCAACUCACCCAAACUUUGCUACGGUUGUGACAAGAAUCAUUCAACUUCAAUAUAUAUCUCUGGAGAGACACAUGGUGCUGACUCCAUGAUCAAUGCCAUCUCAUUGUCUCCUGUCCUGUUCUGCCAGUUGUUACCCUGAUAUGAUUUUGCUUAUCCUCCUCUGCCUUUUUACAGCUGUAGUAUGAUUUAUGUUCCCUGUUGUAAAUCACUUUGUAUAGAAGCUUCUCUUCAGCGUGACAUAGUGAAUGCUGUGUCCAAUGUUCAAACUGUGUACCUGCCACCUAGAUUGUAAGGAAUUGCUAUGCAAUGCCUAAUUUUGUCUCACACUGUUUUGUAGACUAUUCCGUUUCUAUGCCUUUGCAUUGAAUUGCAUGUCAGAAUGUAAUGAAUUUCUUUAUGCAAUAUAUUGACAAGACUCAACCACACAUGAGCAACACAGCUUUCCUAUGGGCAGUUUCCAUGCCUUUGUAUUUAAUUGCAUGUCUGAAUAUAAUGUAUUUCUUUAUGCAAUAUAUCAAGACUCAACUGCAGAUGAGCGCUUUCCUAUGGGCCGUUUCUAUGUCUUUGUGUUGAAUUGCAUCUCUGUACCUUGUCUGUACUGUCUGUACUCAAGAGCGUACGUACGUACGUACGUACAUACUAUACUGGUUCCUGGUGUUUUGACUACAGCUACUGCGUGCUACUGGGUAAAGUUUUUACAGCCCUGCCAAUGACCGUGGACUUUUAAAACUGAAACUAGUUCAGUAAAGGGACUUUCCUGACAACAGUGCCCACACAGCAGGUGCUAUGCACAACACUAUACUAGUCUUCACAUUUGCCAAAGAAUAGCUGGGAAGUAAUGUAUGAAGACAGUGGUGGUGGAGAAAUAUGGUGGACCUCUACAGCCAUUAUAAAUUCCAUCAUUUUUUCUCCUGUUGCUUUGGACUGGGAUGUGGUCUACUCAGCUAUAGGCCCUAUUACAGUUUAGGACCGCCAUGUGGCAUUGCUCUGUUUUUCACGAUAGUUUUUGAAGUGGCUGGUAUUUGCUGUGGACUACCUUCGCACACAAAGAAAUGCACUGGUCCACCAUAUGAAAGUACAGACGUUGUGUGUGGACUGGUCGUUGCUACACUUGUGGCUCUGUUCAACAUCGACACCACUCACAUGCUUACCUCAGCCUAUGGUUGUGGACUGAUAGCAUUUGCAUGCUUUGGGGAAAUAAAUAAGUACAACUCCUUGUGGAAGAAGCACAGGACUUAUCGUUAUUGGUCCAGAUAGUCCCAGUAUAGAGCAAGAGGGCCUACCUCUCCCUUGUGGCAGCACAACUAACUGCUCUGUAAGAUGAUCGUCAACCCAAAACCUCUUUAUUUUACAAGUAAAACUGUGACAAAAAAAUAAUUUGAAUAGAGGCUCAUGCUGCUGAAAAAUAAAUUCAUCCCAAUCCAUUUCUCAGAUCAGUUAAUGGACACUAGCAUGAUGCAUCAGGCUCUAUUGAAAAAGUGAAAGCCCAACUGGGAAACUCCAACUCCCAUUGUUCCCAACUCCCAAGUGUACACUGUACACAAUGAAAUUGCAUUCAUACCUCACCCGUGCAGGGGGGCAGCCCCAAAUGGCGCCCCAAGGGAGCAGUGCGGUGGGACGGUACCAUGCUCAGGGUACCUCAGUCAUGGAGGAGGAUGGGGGAGAACACUGGUUAAUUACUCCCCACACCAACCUGGUGGGUCGGGAGUCGAACUGGCAACCUUUGGGCUAUAAUGGGCUAUGCCCUCUACCAGGCAACAUGGACGCCAUAAUAAUGUGUAGAAAUGUAUCAGGUAUUACUGUGUUUGAUUUGACCUGAGCAAUCCCGCUGAGUCUUGGACAGGCCAAGGUUUUCUGAAAUGCUACACACGCACACGCGCGCGCGCGCGCACGCGCGCACACACACACACACACACACACACACACACACACACACACACACACACACACACACACACACACACACACACACACACACACACACACACACACACACUGAAAACUAACUGUUCUAUGACAGUAGGGCCAUCUCUACUGUGCAGUACCGUCACCAAUAAAGUUACUCUACUCUACUCUACUCCAAACUCCUGAUUCCUGAAUCCCCUUUCCAUAGUCCUUCCAACAACACUUACUGUGCCUCCACUUACAGUAUCAAGAGCCCUCCCCUACCCUGUCUUCUGUUACUGUGGUACACUCACCAUUGCUGUGUCUCAGGUGGUGCACUUCUGCACUUCGGGCACUACGUUUCAGUGCGUAAUUAAUACGCCAUAUACACUGAAUCAUGGACAUGGAUUUCAAGUGCACCAUUUGAAAUCCAACACUUGUACCUGCCAUGUAAUAGUAAAAUAAUGUAAUGUAAUGUAAGUUUUGAGAUGUUUACCAUGCCUGGGAAAGGUCCUCGGUGGAGAGGCCAGAGGCACGUUGUGGAAAGGUGCUGGAUACCAUUGGGGAUUAGCCUCGCGUGAGGACUAUAAUGAUACGUGACAUUUGAAAUGUGCCUUUUAGUUUUAGACCAACAGCACAAAGAGCAAGAGCUGUUUAGUAUUUCUGGAUGCACUUUAAUUUCACCCAACCAGUUCCACUGCAGGCCUAUCAUGCCAUUCAAAGGUUAUAAGAAG